GCCAGGGAAGGGUAAGGAACCUUGGGGAACAUUCUCAAAAGAGCUGUGUAUUUCUAAAAUGUCUCCAUGUUCAAUGGACAGGACACCCAGAACAGGUGGGGGAAGUGUGUGUGUGUUGCUUGUGUUAUGUGUGGAAUGUCAAGGUUAGUGCUUUCAAUGCACUCUGGGGUUGUCGUCCGCCAGCAAAAUCUACUUCAGCGUUUUCUAACAAGCUGCAUACUCUUAUUAAUAUAAGGAUCAUUUGUUACAUUCCUUUGUCGUUUGAACCUGAUUAUCUUACCCCAGAGCUUUUAAUGUUCUCUUGUCCACUCUCGGGACUAGUUUGGUCUAUAAUCCUAACCUGCCAUAUAAGCCCUUCAUGACUGGCCUCUUUUCAUGUGCCCAAGCUUAUAUCUCACUCAUGUGCCACACUGAAUUUUAUACACACACACACACACACACACACACACACACAUUCAUGCACCUACACAUGUACACACACAACACAGACACAUAAAUACAUACAUGCACACACACAUACAUGCACACACAUGCAUACACACAAAUACACAUAUACACAUGUAUACAUAUGUGCAAUAUACAUACAUAAACACACAUACACCACACACAUAUACACACAAACAAACAUAUACCACAUAACACACACACAUUAUUUGUUCCUAAUUAUGUGUUUAGUCUCCAGGUCUCAGAGAAGGCAAUCCCUCCCAGAAUCCUUGCCUGACACCCCAGGGAAGGGAAGGGAUGGCUGAAGCCUAUCAAGUCUCAAAUUCUAGAAAGACAGAAAUUUAGACUUAAGACGUUUGUCCAAAGCCAGAAUGCUGGGAAGGCGCUUUAAGUAAUGCAGUGUUGGAAAAACCCUCCCCCCAUUGGCAUUGGAUAAGGAAGUGUGUGCUUUGCCUGGGGUCCGGACUAAUAAAAAGCAGUGGUAUAUAUCUGUAACCCCUGGAGGUCCAAAAUAAAUAACAUCUACUGCAGAUGAGCUUAAGAGCACAGAGCCCAGGCAGAACAAGUGGUUCAAGCCUUCAAUUCCAGGAGGAUGGCAAGUUCAAGGCCUACCUGGGCUACAAGGUGAGUUCAGGCCAGGCCUGGUAACUUAAGACUAUGUCUCAAAAUAAGGUUUUCUUGAGCUCCAUUUGCUGGAAUUCUAUAGAGAGAAACGCACCAAGAACUUCU
rnacentral:lncRNA from 1 species